ACUCUUCUAGCUCAGCUAAAGGCUCUGGCCGAUGAUACUUUCUUCUUAGCAGGGCUCUGGAAGACCUUGGUAAUGGAGCCAAGCAUGCUCAUGAUUCUCAGAGUGCAGGCAAGGUCACCCUUCGGAGAAGUCAAGGGGAGGGAAAUGGACAUUUGCUGGACACCUGUGCCAGAUUCCUGCUUCUGGCAUUUGAAGGGGGGGGGGGGCUGCAAGAUCCUCCAGGGCCUGCCUGAAGUGGCCUCUGCCUCGGAAAGCCACACCAUUCUUUGCCGGUCCCUGUACUGACUCUUCCCGCCCUGGCUUUCCCUUCACAUCAGGAGCUAGUCCAGGAGGCAGGGCGGGCAUAUGCUCCCCUAGAAUGCACUAGAACCACUGUGCACCGUAAGGACAGCAGCUUCUGGGUGUCUAGAGAACCUAAGAUACACGCCCUGGGUCACACAACCAGCCCACAGCAGCGUCCGCUGGGACUGACUCUGAACCACCGGACCACACAGUAACCCACGGGGUGGCACCCACAACACAACUAUCACUCUCACCAGGGGUCGGUGCUCCUGGCAGAGUCCCAGACACCUUGCUGUGGGUCCCCCUGUGCCUCAGAAUCUUUCUUAACUCUGCGUGUCCAGCAGUCUCUACCACAUUAGAAGUGACCGAAGACGGACAUUCAUUUGCUGUCCCGAUACUAAAACACAGCGGUGCUUAGCCAAUGCAUCAUAACCUCUGCCACCCCAUACACAGAGGUUGGACCUACAACACCCUACUGUUCUCUGAGUCACACCAAAGGAUCUCAGAGAGGCAGACUUAGAGUUUGGGUCGAAUUCUACCACUAACAUUAAACACACUGUAGACCCUUAUUGGGGUUCAGUUACUCUAUCUACAAAAUUAAAGUGUAGAAUGAGAUAAU